rnacentral:rRNA from 1 species
GACGGGACCCGCACAAGCGGUGGAUGAUGUGGUUUAAUUCGAUGCAACGCGAAAACCUUACCCACCUUUGACAUGUACGGAACCCUUUAGAGAUAGAGGGGUGCUCGAAAGAGAGCCGUAACACAGGUGCUGCAUGGCUGUCGUCAGCUCGUGUCGUGAGAUGUUGGGUUAAGUCCCGCAACGAGCGCAACCCUUGUCAUUAGUUGCUACAUUCAGUUGGGCACUCUAAUGAGACUGCCGGUGACAAGCCGGAGGAAGGUGGGGAUGACGUCAAGUCCUCAUGGCCCUUAUAGGUGGGGCUACACACGUCAUACAAUGGCUGGUACAAAGGGUUGCCAACCCGCGAGGGGGAGCCAAUCCCAUAAAGCCAGUCGUAGUCCGGAUCGUAGUCUGCAACUCGACUACGUGAAGUCGGAAUCGCUAGUAAUCGUGGAUCAGAAUGUCACGGUGAAUACGUUCCCGGGUCUU